rnacentral:rRNA from 1 species
AUGCACUUUCUUGCUGCAGUUUGUGAUUCAGCAAUGGGACAGAUUGUGGACACCCCUUUCUUUACACUGGAACUUGAGCAUGGUGGGCUUUUCUGUGGACCAAGAAAUAACAUGGAGUACUAUAAUCCUUCUAUGGAGGUGAUUGACUAUGUUGAUGCUGGCACAUUCUCAUAUUCAGCUAUUGAAGAGCACUUGCUAUGGUUGGGAUAUCCUGUGGCUGAGCACAUAAUUUAUUGGUGCAUGCCUGACAAAAUGAUUUCAGAUGGUAUGUUGAGAAUUAGAGGUGAUGAGGAUGUGCAACACAUGAUUAGAGCUAGUAGUCAGCAUAAGGUGCUUGCACUAAUGGUUGACCAUGCAGAUUUCAUCAGUAAUUGCAGGGAAGAUUUGGUAUUGACAAUGCCAACAGUUCACAGUUCUGUUGUUGCAGCCAUGCAGAGGUCAAGUGUUGUUGCAGCCAGUGCAGCAUCUUCUCACAGCCUCAUUUCAGUAAAUGUUGAAGAGCCCAUUUCAGAGGUGGCAGCAGAUAACAUAGAAGCAGACAACUUGGUUGCUAAUGGAACAGAAACAGAGACUUUGCUAACUGAUGGUGCAGAGGAUGCAGUGCUCUCAGAUUCAGAGUUCAGUGAUAGUGAUUAUGACAUAGAUGAUGGAGAUGAUGAUUUAUAUGAAGACAAUAUUGAUUUUGAUGUUGAUGAAGAAGCUGAGCAAGUUGAGGAAGAGGUGGAGCCAGACUAUGUACUUGAGGAUGAAGAUCUAAACCUCUCUUUUGAAGAGCAAGAACAACUGAAAUACAAGUUCAAAGCUUUCAAUUCCAGGGUGGACAUGAAAUCCCCUAUAUUUAAAUUAGGGAUGGUAUUUGCUGAUGUGGUUGAGCUAAGGAAAGCCCUUACUGCUUAUUCCAUAAGGAACAGAGUGCAAAUCAAGAAGGUCAAGAAUGAUAAGAUGAGAUUAGAGGUUGUCUGUCAGAGAGGUUGCCCAUGGCUGCUUAAAGCUAGCAAGGACAACAUGACUGGAGGAUUUGUCAUCAAGGCCUACUUUGGAGAGCAUGUCUGUCAGAAAAAGUGGAAGUUGAAGGACUUGACAGCCAAGUUUCUUUGCCAGUUUUUCUUGGAUGAAUUCAGAGAUGACCAGAAGAUGUCACUUGGAACAUUUUCAAGGAAAAUUACUAAGGAAUUCAAUGUUACUCCUAACAGAUGGAAGCCUGCUAGGGCUAGAAAGCAAGCACUUAAUGAGAUUCAUGGUGAUGAGGAAGAGCAAUUCAGUAGGCUUUGGGACUAUGGACAAGAAUUGAGGACCAAAAACGCUGGGUCUACAUUUCUGCUCACAACUUCAGUGGUGAAAGAUACAAAAUUUCCAUUGGGCAGGAAAUGUUUGAAAACAUUGUACUGGUCAUAUGAUGCAUGUAAGAGAGGAUGGCUAAAGGGCUGCAGGCCAAUCAUUUUCAUUGAUGGUUGUCACAUGAAAACAAGGUUCAAAGGAGUGAUACUUAGUGCUGUUGGUAUUGAUCCCAAUGACUGCAUAUUCCCAAUUGCAAUGGGAUGGGUGGAAGUUGAGUGCACAGGUUCAUGGGAGUGGUUUCUGACCACUCUCAGAGAUGAUCUCAACAUCACUAACACUGCUCCUUUCACAAUCAUGAGUGACAAACAGAAAGGUUUAAUAAAUGCAGUGCACAAAGUUUGGCCAGAUUCAGAACACAGGUUUUGUGUCAGACAUAUUUAUCAGAAUUUCAAUGAGAAGCACAAAGGAGAGGUACUGAAGCAAGACUUGUGGGCAAUUGCAAGAUCUCCAAACAAAGUGAAGUGGAGAGAAAACUGUCAGAAAAUGGAUGACCACAGUUCAGCUGCUUUCCACUGGACUGAAAGACUAGAGUGGAAAACUUGGUGCAAAGCAUUUUUCAGUGAAUUCCCCAAAUGUGACAUCCUGCUCAACAAUAACUCUGAGGUUUUUAAUAGGUACUUUGGUGGUCAUUUUGCCAAAUUGUUUUGA